CGCGCUUCGCGCGAGAAGCGCGGCAAGUCUCGCGAUGGUUCGAGGGCGUGAGGGCGGGGAGGGCCCGGCCCGGUCCCGGCUGCGCGGUGGGAAAAGCGCGAAGGAUGGAAACGGCGGCACCUGGGAGUUCGGCCUCCAGGGCACGCCUCGCCUGUGUAUCUUCACACGUUUUCUGGUCCUGAUGGUACAGAGACACUGGCAGGAAUGGAGACCUGGUCAAGACAAAGUCUUAAAUGAAAUGCAAAAUAAAGAGUCAGCAGUGUGCCCAUGCUGCUCUUAAAAGCAGACCCUUGUGAUGUAGCUCUGCUCUGAUGCAAAUUUGGGAAGAAAAAAUGCAUCUGGGUUUGAUGUUGCAUUUCUUCAUAAAAGAGUCAGCAGCCGGUUUGUUGAGAGUGUUGGUAAAGCAGACAGGCAUUUGUGUUUAAAGGACUUGCAAGUUUGGAAUCCAGGUAAAACCCAAGUUUUUUGGUUCUGUUUUUGGCCAUAGUCUGUUAAUAGUGGAAACUUAAUGGUCAAACAUCUGUGUUCAUGUGUGUCAUCUGUGGCUUCUAUGUCAUGGAUUCCCUCAGCAGAGUUUCCUCAGGUGCCAAGAGCCUGACUGGUUGGGAAUGUGCCAUAAAUAUGGAAUUUAAAUGUAGAUUGUUCCUGUGGAUCUCAACUCGCAGAUGUUAAGUUUCCACUUUGCAGUAUCCUGAGUAUAAACCAGCAGAAAGGAGAGUAAAGAAAACCAUUUCUCAGUGGAAGAAAGGGAUUGCUAAACAACAGAGCAAAUCAGGCAGCAGAGAGUCCUGGUGCAGCUGAAACUUGUGUGCACCUGAAGUUACAACAGCUGAAUUACAUCUCUAGUACUGUUAGUGCCACUCUUGACCUCCUGUAGCUUGCCUGAAUUGCUGGGAUUGAAUUUCCAGAUGCCCUUAUUUGUUUGUUUGCUAUCACUUCUGAGUCGGGUAGCAAAAUUUGAAGGGGCAAUAGAUCAGUCCUUGUUGGAGACAAUUGCAAUCUCAUGGUCCUCUGUAGUCCAGGCAUACUUGGUAGUCACCUGCAGCAAGAUCCAUCCCUGGGAAAACUCUGGUGUUUGAAGCUGGAAACCAGCUCAAAUUGGUUUGGUUUUCAUUCCUGCUUGUUGAAGUUCUGGGCUAGCUUUGAUCAACUGAGUAAAUGAGGGCAGUGGUCAUCUCCUUACCCAAGAGCCUGAAGAAGCUCGGGAGCCACGUGUGAUCUCUGCUGUUACUGUACUGCUCCUGAUAACUCUGCUGUUACCAGUACUGUUACUGAUGCUGUUGAAGAAAGGGUUUUGAGUUGUGGAGUCAACAUUAUGCUCCAAACAGCUCAGGAGAUGAGGCAAAAUGUGAUGAGACACUCUUGGGUUCAUGUGACAGAUGUGCACGUAUUGAGAGACAGCACCAAAUAAAGCAAGCUGACCAACAGAGCCCAAAGGAUGCCAUUUUGUGUCCUAAAAACCAUAAAUCUAAUACUUAAAUUGUUGCCAUCUUACCAAAUUUCAGUCAACCUGCCUGAAAUUCGUGGCUGUUUGGCAUAUGAGGGAAAGCAGCAUAAACUAGUAAAAUCUGUUAGUAGGUCAGUUAGGGAGAAAGCAGUUUCAUUAUUAGUUUUCUUUUUCUGUAUUUAUUUUCCAUACUGUUGUUUUCUUUUACUUCAAGGGGAAAGAAGAGCUUAAAUUACUAAACUUUUAUUGAUAUUUGGAACAAAAAAAAAAUCCUGUGGUGCUUCAUUUUUGUAUUUUAGCAGUGGGUUUUCUAUUGUCCAGGAGUUUGUAGUAAAAUGACCUGCAAUUCACAUGUUCCUUGUGCUACACACAUUGAAGUUCUGAUGGAUGUUUUGACAGCAUAUGGUGGUCAAGAAAGUGGGGAAGCUGAUCUAAACCCCAGGAUUUUGGGUUGGUUUGGGUUUUUUUUUACCUCCCUCAAAAAGGAAAAUCCUUUUGUUGGCGAUGAGGAAGACCAAUACAUGAACAGGAGAAUUAUUAUUGAAAAUGGGAAAAAGUCAUGUGGAUGCUGUUUCUCAGUAUGUUAAAGAAAAAAUUUCUCUUUAAUGUCAGAAAUACUUUCUUAGUUUUGGGUAGUAAGGGGAGUGAACUAGUCUAGGAAAUGGGCUAUUAUAAAGAAAAAAAUACAGUUUUUUUAAAUGAAAGUUUUAAAAUCAAGGCUAAAUGCUUUGUUGUAGACCUUAAUUUUUAUUGUUGUGUCUUGCUUGAAUCAUGUCAUUGUUUUAGUCUAUUGCCCUCUGUGUCCUUGGUUAGCAUAAGUUUUAAACCUGGAUUGUCUUUGAAGGGCUUGGUGCUGGAAUUCAUCUGGGAAUUAAGUGGCAAUUCCUGGUCAUAAGAAGUCCACAUGGUCACCAGGUAAGCAGUAAUAUCCAUCCCUGUGCAGCAACAUGUCAGCAAUUCAGUCCAAACAUGGCAAACCAUGAAUUUAUGUCAUGGCCUUAAUUGUGUUCUGAGCUGUUCCAUGAAAUUCAGAAAGCAGGGCAUUUUUGGGUGUUCUGUAGAUUUGCUGUGUAAGAGAGGCCAAUUCUCUGCAUGCCAGCAUGAACAAAGGGACCUCUUUGCUGAAGCUCUACCAGUAGAAGAAACAACUGUUAGAACAUCUGUAUCCUAUUUUUGCAGUAUAUAGAUCUGUGUUAUACUCACUGACAGUUUCUGCUGACUUGGAGAAAUAAAUAGUGU